rnacentral:rRNA from 1 species
GACGAACGCUGGCGGCGUGCUUAACACAUGCAAGUCGAGCGGAGCGGCGAACGGGUGAGUAACGCGUUAGUAACUGCCACCCUCUCUGGGAUAACAGUUGGCAACGGCUGCUAAUACCGGAUCGUGGGGGAUGACUCGCGUCCUAUCAGCUUGUUGGUGGGGUAGUGGCCUACCAAGGCGACGACGGGUAGCCGGACUGAGAGGGCGACCGGACACAUUGGGCUGAGAGACGGCCCAAACUCCUACGUGAGGCAGCAGUGGGGAAGAUUGCACAAUGGGGGAACCCCUGAUGCAGCAACGCCGCGUGCGGGAUGACGGCAUUCGGGUUGUAAACCGCUUACAGCCAUGACGCGGUAGUGGCAGAAGAAGCACCGGCUAAAUACGUGCCAGCAGCCGCGGUAAUUC